UACGGAGGGAGCUAGCGUUGUUCGGAAUUACUGGGCGUAAAGCGCACGUAGGCGGCUUUGUAAGUUAGAGGUGAAAGCCCCGGAGCUCAACUCCGGAAUUGCCUUUAAGACUGCAUCGCUUGAAUCCGGGAGAGGUGAGUGGAAUUCCGAGUGUAGAGGUGAAAUUCGUAGAUAUUCGGAAGAACACCAGUGGCGAAGGCGGCUCACUGGCCCCGGUACUGACGCUCAUGUGCGAAAGCGUGGGGAGCGAAACAAGGU
rnacentral:rRNA from 1 species